ACCCAUUUGUCACCUCAACCUGGCAGCCUAUAACCCACUUCGCGGAAAGUUCAGACCCAAAAGCCAGC